ACAGCCCUUGGCUUUCGUGACUGACUGGGUGAUCGACAGCAUCAGAACGCUUUCUUGAAUGAUGACGAAACAACGUUGCUUCACCUGGACAUCAUCUCGGCUCUUGGCUCUCAGCUUAUUGACCUGGGACUCAGCGAUGUCAGCACGCUCCUGAGCUUCCUCCAGCUCAUGCUGCACCUUCCUGAACCUGGACAGCAUCUCGGCUCUUGGCUCUCAGCUUGUUGACCUGGGACUCAGCGAUGUCAGCACGCUCCUGAGCUUCCUCCAGCUCAUGCUGCACCUUCCUGAACCUGGACAGCAUCUCGGCUCUUGGCUCUCAGCUUGUUGACCUGGGACUCAGCGAUGUCAGCACGCUCCUGAGCUUCCUCCAGCUCAUGCUGCACCUUCCUGAACCUGGACAGCACUUCUCGUCUCUUGGACUGUAUCACCCACCUCACUUUGGAUCUUCGCCAGACCAGUCUUAAGCUUCUCCUUCGUGUUCUUCUGGAAGGGAAAACAAGGCUGUUUCCCAAAGCAAUGACAAAACACAAAAGCUGUAAUUGAAACAAUGUUACUACAAGUGCAGCAGCAUUUCUGCGCCUCAUCAGUCUGACUCCAUCUCAUUGAGAUCUCCCUCCAUUUUCUUCUUGACUUCUUUGUUUGUGGCUGCUGCUGACCUCAGAGUCCAGACGUAUCGCUCUCUGACUGUUUCUCUUAACCGGCUCCAUUUCUUCAUCCUUCUCAGCUAGUUUCCUUCAGGGAUGUGACUCUUGACUUUAGAGUAUAUCUGUUGAUACAGUUCAUAAACAACCUCUCUUUAUUCAUAUACGUACAAAAGUAUAGACAUGGCUUCAGGAUACAGCUACUGUAUUAGCUGUCCUAAUGUACUUUCCAGUUUUUAUACAUAACUGUCUAUCAUACAUUAUUGGAAACCAUAUAAGCAAUGGAUUGCAUAAUAACUAUAAUGAAGCAUAGUUUAUGGCAAGUAGUGCUACAGUGGUGGCCAUUGACUUGGAGAUAGAUAGAUAGAUUUAUUGAUCCCGAAGGAAAUUUAGCAGUAUAAACAUAAUAUAAACAUAAUAAACUUAUGUUUAUUGGCUACAUAUGCUUGUAUUGCAAAACAUGUCUUGGUUUGGCCAACUGCUUUGUUCACUGAACUGUGAACUAUGGCUUUAUUGACAGCUUGUCAGGUGUUUUAUUGAAUCAUUCGUUGUGGAAUUUUAAUAUAAUUUAUUUACAGGCAGCAGCAAGUAUCCAAACCCUUUGGCUCAGUAUAAAUCCAAUUAAAUUCUCCACCUGUUUACUGGUCAGGCCUGGACUAAUCUGACUAGCAUGUCUACAAUGCCCAGCUUGGCACUGGAGGAGCUGUCAAAUGCCGCUGGUAUUCAGUUGCAAGGCAGUUGCAAGCCAAAGCAUUUUUAUUAAUAACCUCUAUGGCGGUCAGAGUCAUUUUCAGUUUUUUAUGUGCUGGGAGUGAGAAGAGUUUUAAUACAUGACAUUGUCCUGCAAAAAUGUGCCAUUUUACCGCAGGACCUUAAAAUUCUCAGGUCAGCGGUGCAUCUUUUGUCUUUUACACUGUCACGAGUAUCACUGUUUGAGUGAAAAGUCCUGAACUUAGAUAUGCCGAGAUUCCUCUUACGUUGAGGUCAAGUGUGUUUGUAAAGUGACCAAAUUCUUAGCCUUGAACUUUUCCACUGGUGUGAAAGCUAAUUUUAGCCUCACAAUACUGAGUUGCUAUGUCUCAAGACCUGAAAAGCAGCACAUUGUAGUCUUUGUUUAGUCUGUAAGACGCACUCCAACACCUAACAACCCUAAACUGAAAGAUUUUUAAAGGAGCACUGAAGGUGAGGCUCAUCUCCAGUUCUGGUUUAAAAAAAGAAGCUGAAGUUCAAACAGCUACUAAAGACGGCCUCCGAUGACGUCUUGGGGCCUCAGUAUGGAUUAACCCAGGGGGAGCCUUCAGAUGCCUCUGGUGUACUGUUGCACAGCUCUUGCAAGUCAAGCAUUUUUAUUAAUAAACCAAAUCAAAGGAGCCAUAUUUCCUCGGCAUCUCCUGCUGACGUGGCAGAUGUUCGGUUUACAGCUCAGUGAGUUUGACCACACAGAGAUUUUGGAGCCAGUAGGUUGAUUUUAAGCCUUUUUCACAGCAGCCAUUAAAUAAAAAAACAGGCUUAAAUUUUAAUAUUUGUAUUUUUUAUCAGGAAAUUUGAAGUGUAGUUAAGUUUUGAAUUUAAAUGUUUUGUUUGAUUAUAUUUAUAAAAAUAUAAUUCAGGCCAGUGUCUAUUUCUACAGCAGAAUGGACGGUAGGGGACCUGAGGAAAGAAGUUAAAUAUUUUCUAUUAGAUGUCCAUAUUUUACUGACAGAUUAUUUUUAUACUUACUGUACUCUUUUUCUUCCCCCCCAAACAGGUAAUGUUCAUUUCAAGUACUUGAAAUGUUGUAAGUAGCCAUAAUAAUAAUAAUACCUUAUUAAUUCACUUUGUCACUUUAAUAAAUAUUAUCAUAUGUUCUUGUUCUACAUUCCUAAGAGUAACUCAUUUGAAUGUAUCUAUUUAUUGCCAUAUUACUGUACAUUAUUUUGUAAUGAUAAGAAAGAAAUGCCUUUAGUUAAGAUACUUUUGAAAUGAGAAAAGGGUUUUACUUGUCUUGGCCUCUAUAUGCUCUAAUAAAGGUGCCUUUACGUCUC